rnacentral:rRNA from 1 species
UACGGAGGGGGCUAGCGUUGUUCGGAAUUACUGGGCGUAAAGCGCACGUAGGCGGCUUUGUAAGUUAGAGGUGAAAGCCCGGAGCUCAACUCCGGAAUUGCCUUUAAGACUGCAUUGCUAGAAUUGUGGAGAGGUAAGUGGAAUUCCGAGUGUAGAGGUGAAAUUCGUAGAUAUUCGGAAGAACACCAGUGGCGAAGGCGACUUACUGGACACAUAUUGACGCUGAGGUGCGAAAGCGUGGGGAGCAAACAGG